rnacentral:rRNA from 1 species
AACGGCAGCACGGGAGCUUGCUCCUGGUGGCGAGUGGCGAACGGGUGAGUAAUGCGUCGGAACGUACCGAGUAAUGGGGGAUAACGCAGCGAAAGUUGUGCUAAUACCGCAUACGCCCUGAGGGGGAAAGUGGGGGAUCGCAAGACCUCACGUUAUUCGAGCGGCCGACGUCUGAUUAGCUUGUUGGUGAGGUAAUGGCUCACCAAGGCGACGAUCAGUAGCGGGUCUGAGAGGAUGAUCCGCCACACUGGAACUGAGACGCGGUCCAGACUCCUACGGGAGGCAGCAGUGGGGAAUUUUGGACAAUGGGGGCAACCCUGAUCCAGCCACUCCGCGUGAGUGAAGAAGGCCUUCGGGUUGUAAAGCUCUUUCAGCCGGAACGAAACGGUACGCCUUAAUACGGUGUGCUAAUGACGGUACCGGCAGAAGAAGCACGGCUAACUACGUGCCAGCAGCCGCGGUAAUACGUAGGGUGCGAGCGUUAAUCGGAAUUACUGGGCGUAAAGCGUGCGCAGGCGGAUUGUUAARCAAGAUGUGAAAUCCCCGGGCUUAACCUGGGAAUGGCAUUUUGAACUGGC